rnacentral:rRNA from 1 species
UACAGAGGUCUCAAGCGUUGUUCGGAUUCAUUGGGCGUAAAGGGUGCGCAGGCGGUCGGGUAAGUCGGAUGUGAAAUCCUGGGGCUCAACCUCAGAACUGCAUUCGAUACUGCCUGGCUAGAGGAUUGGAGAGGAGAGUGGAAUUCACGGUGUAGCAGUGAAAUGCGUAGAGAUCGUAAGGAAGACCAGUGGCGAAGGCGAGUUUCUGGACAGUUACUGACGCUGAGGACGGAAGGCCAGGGGAGCAAACGGG